UACGUAGGGGGCGAGCGUUGUCCGGAAUUAUUGGGCGUAAAGAGCGUGUAGGCGGUUCGGUAAGUCUGCCGUGAAAACCUGAGGCUCACCUCGGGCGUGCGGUGGAUACUGCCGGGCUAGAGGACGGUAGAGGCGAGGUGGAAUUCCCGGUGUAGCGGUGAAAUGCGCAGAUAUCGGGAGGACACCAGUAGCGAAGGCGGCUCG
rnacentral:rRNA from 1 species